GUCUGCGUGUUGCUGUGUGUGUGCGUGUCCGCGUGUUGCUGUGUGUGUGUGCGUGUCCGCGUGUUGCUCUGUGUCUGUGUGUGAACAUCUGUGCUUGUCCUGUAUCUGUGUUUAUCUGUGUACUUCCAUGUCUGUGUGAAGGAGUCCUUGUGUCUGUGUGUCUACAUGUCUGCACGUGUCCCCGUGUCUUCGUGUAUAUAUAUCCAUGUUUGUGUGCCUGUGUUCCUGCGUGUGCAUAUGUGUGCACGUGUGUAUCUGUGUGUCUGUCAGAGUAUCUGUGUGUGCAUGUGUGUGUGUCUGUCAGCGUAUCCAUGUGUGCAUCUGUGUGUCUGUCAGCAUAUCCAUGUGUGCAUGUGUGUGUCUGUCAGCUUAUCCAUGUGUGCAUGUGUCUGUCAGCAUAUCCGUGUGUGCAUCUGUGUAUCUGUCCGUGUAUCCGCGUGUGCCUGUGUGUACUUUUGUGUGAGCAUCAAGGGACCUCCCAGGCCUGGUGCUCACCAUCCGCCCCAACGCACCCUGCAUUGCAGCGACUCCAGCUCGGACACAGACAGCUUCUACGGCGCAGUCGAGCGGCCUGUGGAUAUCAGCCUCUCCCCGUACCCCACGGACAAUGAAGACUAUGAGCACGACGACGAGGAUGACUCCUACAUGGAGCCCGACUCCCCGGAGCCCGGAAGGCUUGAGGAUGCCCUGAUGCACCCACCGGCUUACCCACCACCCCCAGUGCCCACGCCCAGGAAGCCAGCCUUCUCCGACAUGCCCCGGGCCCACUCCUUUACCUCCAAGGGCCCCGGUCCCCUGCUGCCACCCCCGCCCCCUAAGCACGGCCUCCCAGAUGUUGGCCUGGCUGCCGAGGACUCCAAGAGGGACCCCCUGUGCCCGAGGCGGGCUGAGCCUUGCCCCAGGGUACCUGCUACCCCCCGAAGGAUGAGUGAUCCCCCUCUGAGCACCAUGCCCACCGCACCCGGCCUACGGAAACCCCCUUGCUUCCGGGAGAGUGCCAGCCCCAGCCCCAGCCCGGAGCCCUGGACCCCUGGCCACGGGGCCUGCUCCACUUCCAGUGCUGCCAUCAUGGCCACUGCCACCUCCAGAAACUGUGACAAACUCAAGUCCUUCCACCUGUCCCCCCGAGGACCGCCCACAUCUCAGCCCCCACCUGUGCCAGCCAACAAGCCCAAGUUCCUGAAGACAGCUGAAGAGGACCCCCCAAGGGAGGCAGCCAUGCCUGGACUCUUUGUGUCCCCCGUGGCUCCCCGGCCUCCUGCGCUGAAGCUGCCAGUGCCUGAGGCCACGGCGCGGCCCGCAGUCCUGCCCAGGCCAGAGAAGCCGCAGCUCCCCCACCUCCAGCGAUCACCCCCUGAUGGGCAGAGUUUCAGGAGCUUCUCCUUUGAAAAGCCCCGGCAACCCUUGCCGGCUGACACUGGUGGGGACGACUCGGACGAGGACUAUGAGAAGGUGCCACUCCCCAACUCGGUCUUCAUCAACACCACGGAGUCCUGCGAAGUGGAAAGGCUGUUCAAGGCUACAAGCCCCCGGGGAGAGCCCCAGGAUGGACUCUACUGCAUCCGGAACUCCUCUACCAAGUCAGGGAAGGUCCUGGUUGUGUGGGAUGAAACUUCUAACAAAGUGAGGAACUAUCGCAUUUUUGAGAAGGAUUCUAAGUUCUACCUGGAGGGCGAGGUCCUGUUUGUGAGUGUGGGCAGCAUGGUGGAGCACUACCACACCCACGUGCUGCCCAGCCACCAGAGCCUGCUGCUGCGGCACCCCUACGGCUACACCGGGCCUAGGUGAUGCCAGCCCGUGUGGCUGCCAGGCCAAGGCAGUCACAGGGGCCCUGACCCCAGGCCACACAGAUGGACACGGGCCCACAUGGGAGGGUGAGCAGAAGCAAGGCCGUGCUUGCCUAGGGCCUCAGUGAUGGACGUCUCGUAGGACCCAGCCAGUCUCAUCCAGCAGGCUGAUGAGGGCUGGACCAGGCUCCAGGCUCCAGAGGACGAGGGGACUCUGUUGCCCCACACUAACUUGCCCUGUCCCAAUCUCAGAAACCCAGGACCGAGCCGUGCCUGGGCUCCGAGGACAGGAACACUGGUUCCCCUCAUCACACUCACCCCAGGCAGGGCCAGGGCAGCUGGGUGGGGGCCGGGGCUGGCCCUGGGACCCUCAGGAACGCUAAGACACAGGCUCCAGUAGGGGCUGUUGCCUCCAAUAAAGCAGCAGUGAGCUUUGC
rnacentral:sRNA from 1 species